AUGCCUGCUGAGCCACACAUUAGGCCUAAGGCUGAAUCAGCCCAAGGAAAUGCAUCAUCUUGGCAUCUGACCACCCAGAAAAGGCAUCUGUCCUGUCAGGUGCUCAUGGAUACAACCCUCUUGCUGGUACCUAGCGCUGCUGGCCCUGCAACUUUCUGUACUCCUUUCAUGCCACGUUUGGGAGAACUGGGAUCCCUCUGGCCCUCCCUGUCCCAGUGGAGCAUGGACAUCUCCAUAAAGCUGCGUAUCUUCACAGGCUCUGUACGGCCAUUCCCUCUCCAACCUCUCUGCCUGAUAUAGUUUGGACCUGCAUCCUCACCCAAAUCUCAUGUUGAAUUGUAAUCCCCAAUGUUGGAGAUGGAGCCUGGUGGGAGGUGAUUAGAUCAUAGGGAUAGUUUCUUAUGAAGGGGUGAUGUGAUUUGGCUGUGUCCCCACCCAAAUCUCAUCUUCAAUUCCCAUGUGUUGUGGGAGGCACCUGGUGAAAGGUAACAGAUUCAUGGGGGUGGAUCUUUCCCAUGCUAUUCCUGUGUUAGUGAAUAAGUCUCAUGACCAGAUCUGAUAGUUUUAUUGGGGGAGUUUCCCCAUACAAGCUCUCUUUUCCUACUGCCAUCCAUGUAAGAUGUGACUUGCUCUUCCUUGCCUUCCACCAUGAUUGCUAAGCCUCCCCAGCCACAUGGAACUGUAAGUCCAUUAAACCUCUUUCUUUUGUAAAUUGCCCAGUCUUGGAUCUGUCUUUAUCAGCAGUGUGGAAAUGGACUAAUACAGUGUGUUAGCACUAUCCCCUUGGUGCUGCUCUCAUGAUAAUGAGUGAGUGCUCAUGAGAUGUGGUUGUCUGAAAGUGUGUAGUUCUUCUCCCCUCUCUCCCGGUCCUGCUCCUGCCAUGUAAGACAACUGCUCCCCCUUUGCCAUCCCCCAUGAGUAAAAGCUCCCUGAAGUCUCCCCAGAAGCAGAUGCUGCCAUGCUUCCUGUACAGCCUGUGGAACUAUGAGUAAAUUAAACCUCUUUUCUUUAUACAUCACCCAGUCUCAGGUAUUUCUUUACAGCAAUGUGAGAACAGACAAACACACUGCUUCCCCAGUGGGGCAGGACCCACUUCCCAUUGGGGCAGGACCCCCCAAACAAUCUGGAUUUCCUUUCCUCUCUCCUUUCUUUCCCAAGUCCAACCACAUAUUCUCUAGACUAAGUGGGAGAAGCCUUAUUCUUUCUCAUGUUCCUCCCAAACACUUUGUUCACUAGCAGGCUUUCCCUAAAGGCUUCAGCUUUGG
rnacentral:lncRNA from 1 species